UGCUGCUUCUUGCGCGUUCCAUAGUUCUCUUGGAAUUUUUGUUUUCGUUGUAGUUUACGCGCUCCUCUGGCACUGCGCAAAGAGACACAUACUAUUCUUGGCAGUCAAGUUCGGUUCAUGUUGUUUUAUGGUGAAGAUAAUGCUGAAUUCACUACACUAUAGUACAGUAGUUAUCGUGGCUCACAGCUUUUUACCACGCAAACAAAUGCGAGUGAUCAAACAGGGUUUGUGAACAAGCAAUAAAAGGGUUAUACUAGAGGAGCAAUUUUGAGUCAGUCAUUUGCGUCCUUUAUAAA